GAUCCACCUGCUUCGGCCUCUCAAAGUGCUGGGAUUACAGGCAUUAGCCACCAUGCCUAGCUUUCUAAUAGGCUUUUCAGCCAUAUGUUGUGAUUUCACCUGUGUAGGAGAUAGAUUACCGGUAGCGUCUCUCUUUUACAGGUGACAACCCAGAGGCUCUAAGACAGGGGUCCCCAACCCUAGUCUGUGGCUCAUUAGGAACAGGUUGCACAGCAGGAGGAAUACAAGCUCAGGGCUCCCACUGAUUGUACAUUAUGGUGAGACAUGGUCUUGUAACACGGUGGUUAAGAAUGUGAUUUUGGAGCCAGCCUGCUAGGGGCUGAAUUCUGACUCAACCAUUUACUAACUGUGUGACCUUAGGUCACAGAAUUUUCCACACUCCUUGAUGGAGGUGCUUAACCGUUAUCCAUCAGCAUUCUCAGACAGCACCUCCGGUUAGGGACAGUAUCUGACCGUCCGACAUCCCUGCAGCCCCCAUGCUGUCACACAGACUCAGCCUCAGGUAGAUGGUUUCUGUAGAUGGUGGCUUUCUUUGGACCCUUGAUAUCAACCAGUUAUUAUUUGGGCUGGGUUCCAUGUGUGUCUGAGCUCUCCACCACCUCGUCUACAGCAGUCUGUGACCCAAGUUUGAAGACCUGGUGCCAUAAGCCUACUGAUGUGGAACUCUGGAAGCAGAAUGCAGCUAUGGACGGUGCUCGGAGGAGCUGUGCCACCAACCCCACACACACUCACACCAGCUCUGGGCCGGGGGCCUCGGAUGGGCUGGGGGGCCCAGUUGUGCAGGAGGGGGCGGGCAAAUGGCGGGGGCCUUGGUCUUGGCUGCCAUGGCCAGAGGUGGGGGGGGUGGGGGGGUCGGGGGAUGGAGGCCUCAGUCCCUGCCCUCACUAGGUGGCCGGAGCAGGAGGCAGGCUGACCCACUUAGAGACUGGCUCCUUUCAAAGCAGCGUGGUUGUGACGAGGGCUGCUUUAAGUGGGUCAGCCUGCAUAUACACACUGGUCUUAAACUCUUCAAAACUUGGCUGUUAAACAUCUAGAUCCUGUUUUCAUUAGCUUGUAAGCCAUGGCCAUGGGGACCUGCCUGGUCUUCUGAAGCAGCAAGUGUGUCCAGAGGCUAAUAAACAGCAGGUGCCUCCAAUAAACAGGAUUUUAAUACUCGAUGUAAAUAUGGAUGCAAAUACAUGAAAAGAAAGGUGGGAUCUGAAUUAUAUGUGCAAGUUACACAAUUGCUCAGACGUUUUGCACUGAGAACUGUAGUGUGACUGUGGGUACCAUGUGUGUUUUACAGGUGCAGGAUGUGUGUACAGUGUGGGAGAGUGUGUUUUUGUGGAUGGACAUGUAUGUGGUGUGUAGUAGAGAGCAUGUGUGUCUGCGUGUACGUGCAUGUGUAUGAAGAGAAGACUCCACCACCAGAUUGGGUGGGGACAGAGCCAGCUACUUAAUUUGCAGGGUCCCAGUGUAAAAGAAAAACAUGGGGCCCUCAUUCAAAAUUACCAGGAAUUUCAACACAGAAACAACAGAGCAUCACCCCAAACUGGGGCCUUUCUGAGCACAGGGUGGGUCUCACGCCCACGGAGGAGUGCACCUCCUUGUCUCCCUCCAACCUUCCCAUGCCACUUUGGAAGGCCCCCGGGUCCCCCUUUGCUCUCUCCCCACCAGCUUCCCAGGGUGGCCUUGACCUUGGCAGUGUGGGGAAGUGGCCAAGGUGGGCUGGCAGAGUGGCUGAGGGCUGUGCUGGUCUUACCCUUUCCCGACCCUCCUCUUCCAGCCUGGGCCUCACUAGGGGAACCCCAGUCUGUAAGGUGUCUCUUGCCCUGGGCUGUUGGUUCAAAAAGGCUCCUCUGCAAGCUGCCACAGUGUUCUGGGAAGUCGUGAGGCCGCAGGAACAAUCUAAAGCAAACGUGUCCAGCCCGCUUUGAAUGCGGC